AUUCCUUUUUCUGCUCGUCUACCCACAGUAUCCGCUGAAGAUCCCAAUCAUCUGGGUGUAUCUUGAUUUGCCGAUACAUUUUUGUGAUGUCUGUGGCGAACAAGAACUUGCGUCGGCGGAUCCAGAUGAGCAAAUCGAAGAUAUUGAGCAUCAGAUUCGGACCAGCGUGCAUGAGAUCAUUGACAGAGUAGCCGGUGGAGCUGGCGCUUUAGCCGCAAUUGCAGCACAACCUACGCUCCUUGACCAAUUUCACACGUUGCGCCAGUGAGUAGUCUCGCAGCUUUGGGCACAUCACGAUGAAAUGAUCCUGACCGCAACAGUCACACGGAUAUGGUGAUCGACGCUGAGUUGUCUGCUGAGUUGUCUUCGUGGGUGCUGGUGAUGAGCGGUCUUGAGGCUGCUGAGACGCCUGGUGUGAGCUAGCACGCUUAGGUAUGGCUCCCUUCGCAGCGCUGGAUUGAACAGGCGUCGGCGUUUCAUCUAUGUUUUCCAAGGUACGUGCACGCGCCAUUAGAAACGCUGUGAGUUGGCUG
rnacentral:misc_RNA from 1 species